CACUCGUAAAUCUCGCAUCUCCGCGUCUAGUCUGCAUACGAAGCUUACACGAAAUAUUUCAGCCAAACAAAAGUAAAACGAUUACAUGAACUUAUUUUUUGCGUGAUUUACAACUGGGAAAUUGGCACUAUGCCAACCACACCGUUCAGAAAUGAAGCGCGCACAUUUCCCAAUAAUCCACCCCAUUCUACGUAUUCCCGAAAAAUCACGAUUAAAUAACAUGCCACUUUGAUCAAUUUUCUCUACUUGUGAUUACAAAGUAUCAACUUCCGUACACAUCAAGUACCUAAUAAAACAGUAAAUAAAAUGUCUCCUUUCAAAGAAGGCGUUGGAUCUGGCACCGGAAACAUAUGUUAGGCGAUUUAAUCGGACGGUGGGAUCGGACUUUCUGACUAAAAUGGAUGAGCGGUAAUUAUCGAUGAAUCGUACGCAAACUGCAUACAGCUUAACACCUUUAAAAAAUAUGCAAGCUGUGCUGUUCCAAUCUCUUCCGGACGUUAACAAUUUCAUGUUAGGGUAUCCUUUUUGCUUUAGGUGACUGCUUUACAUCCGUUGGCUUCAUUAUAUCUCCGUUGUGAGCAGUCGUUCUUUGAUAUGAGGUUUUAUCAACAACAGCCUUCGCCGCUGCGCACAGACUAAUUAACGCUGAAAUUGUACAUUCUUUGAUUAUCUUUUACAUCAUUCUAUUCGUUGUAACCAAGUUUCAUGUUAAAAGCAUUUUAACUGAAAGCCAAAAUAAAUAAUUUUAAUUUA